AGAGUUUGAUCCUGGCUCAGGAUGAACGCUGGCGGCGUGCUUAACACAUGCAAGUCGAACGAUGACUUUUGUGCUUGCACAAAAUGAUUAGUGGCGAACGGGUGAGUAACACGUGAGUAACCUGCCCUUAACUUCGGGAUAAGCCUGGGAAACCGGGUCUAAUACCGGAUACGACGGAUCCCCGCAUGGGGGUCCGUGGAAAGCUUGAUGCGGUUUUGGAUGGACUCGCGGCCUAUCAGCUAGUUGGUUGGGGUAAUGGCCCACCAAGGCGACGACGGGUAGCCGGCCUGAGAGGGUGACCGGCCACACUGGGACUGAGACACGGCCCAAACUCCUACGGGAGGCAGCAGUAGGGAAUCUUCGGCAAUGGACGAAAGUCUGACCGAGCAACGCCGCGUGAGUGAAGAAGGUUUUCGGAUCGUAAAACUCUGUUGUUAGAGAAGAACAAGGAUGAGAGUAACUGUUCAUCCCUUGACGGUAUCUAACCAGAAAGCCACGGCUAACUACGUGCCAGCAGCCGCGGUAAUACGUAGGGCGCAAGCGUUAUCCGGAAUUAUUGGGCGUAAAGAGCUCGUAGGCGGUUUGUCGCGUCUGCUGUGAAAGCCCGGGGCUCAACCCCGGGUCUGCAGUGGGUACGGGCAGACUAGAGUGCAGUAGGGGAGACUGGAAUUCCUGGUGUAGCGGUGAAAUGCGCAGAUAUCAGGAGGAACACCGAUGGCGAAGGCAGGUCUCUGGGCUGUAACUGACGCUGAGGAGCGAAAGCAUGGGGAGCGAACAGGAUUUAGAUACCCUGGUAGUCCAUGCCGUAAACGUUGGGCACUAGGUGUGGGGGACAUUCCACGUUUUCCGCGCCGUAGCUAACGCAUUAAGUGCCCCGCCUGGGGAAGUACGGCCGCAAGGCUAAAACUCAAAGGAAUUGACGGGGGCCCGCACAAGCGGCGGAGCAUGCGGAUUAAUUCGAUGCAACGCGAAGAACCUUACCAGGUCUUGACAUCCCGCUGACCGGCCUAGAGAUAGGCUUUUCCCUUCGGGGACAGCGGUGACAGGUGGUGCAUGGUUGUCGUCAGCUCGUGUCGUGAGAUGUUGGGUUAAGUCCCGCAACGAGCGCAACCCUUGAUCUUAGUUGCCAGCAUUCAGUUGGGCACUCUAAGGUGACUGCCGGUGAUAAACCGGAGGAAGGUGGGGAUGACGUCAAAUCAUCAUGCCCCUUAUGACCUGGGCUACACACGUGCUACAAUGGACGGUACAGAGGGUCGCAACCCCGCGAGGGUGAGCAAAUCCCAUAAAACCGUUCUCAGUUCGGAUUGUAGGCUGCAACUCGCCUACAUGAAGCCGGAAUCGCUAGUAAUCGUGGAUCAGCAUGCCACGGUGAAUACGUUCCCGGGCCUUGCACACACCGCCCGUCA
rnacentral:rRNA from 1 species